rnacentral:sRNA from 1 species
UUAACCCGGCUUGUUCGAAGCGUGACGUUAUGCGUCAAGUUGUAAGUAGGACAAGCGGGGUUUU